rnacentral:rRNA from 1 species
CCUACGAGAGGCAGCAGUGAGGAAUCUUGGUCAAUGGACGCAAGUCUGAACCAGCCAUGCCGCGUGCAGGAAGACGGUUCUAUGAGUUGUAAACUGCUUUUGUACGAGGGUAAACGCAGAUACGCGUAUCUGUCUGAAAGUAUCGUACGAAUAAGGAUCGGCUAACUCCGUGCCAGCAGCCGCGGUAAUCCGGAGGAUUCAAGCGUUCUCCGGAUUUAUUGGGUUUAAAGGGUGCGUAGGCGGUCGGAUAAGUUAGAGGUGAAAUCCCGAGGCUCAACUUCGGAAUUGCCUCUGAUACUGUUCGGCUAGAGAGUAGUUGCGGUAGGCGGAAUGUAUGGUGUAGCGGUGAAAUGCUUAGAGAUCAUACAGAACACCGAUUGCGAAGGCAGCUUACCAAGCUACUUCUGACGUUGAGGCACGAAAGCGUGGGGAGCAAACAGGAUUAGAUACCCGAGUAGUC